CCGAGCACUCACCGUCCCCUCCUCCGGCCGCUCCCGCCUCAUACACACACCGACAAUGACAUCACCGGACGGAUGCCGUGCAGCAAGAAAUGUUAUAAAGGAUGUUCUAACUUAUUGGACUUCAAAUGAAGAGGAACACACUUGUGCAUAUUUGAGAUUCUCCACCCAAAUACAUCCAGAACCCUUAAACUCAGCAACUGGUACCAUGGAUCUGAAGUUCCCAAUUUUAAGAACCACUCCGUUUGGGUGAACGGCACAACAAUAUCUCGAAUUUCAUCCUUGUUGAGGAAAUGUUCCAUAUACGGUCUCCACUUUUUGAAGAAGGGCCCUGUCAACUUUGACUUACAAAUCUCCGCCUCAAUACAUUCAAGUUUCAAACAAUGCGUGGAUAAGCGAAAUGCCUCAUCAAUACUGGGAAGCUCCGGGCGUAGCCAGUGAGCUAGUAUACUCCGCUUGGCUGCCAGUAGUAUCACAUGUAUUGAGUCGUUUAGACGAGGCUGCAACUCAGCUCUCCCCACUUGAAAUAUAAUCAAUUCUGGGUCCAAAGGAACCUUUAUUUUGUACUUGUUAUUAAUCUUAUCAAUGAUAGAUUUCCAGUAAACUUGAACUUUUACACACGCCCACAGCCCAUGUGUGAGAUCAGUGUUUGGAGUGUUACAUUUAGGGCAU